rnacentral:rRNA from 1 species
CAAAAGGCAGCUUUUCUUUUGGGAGCGGCCCCUUUGAGGAGGAGCUCGUGGCCUAUCAGCUAGUUUGGUAGGGUAAACGGCCUACCUAGGCGAAGACGGGUAGCUGGUCUUAGAGGAUGAUCAGCCACACGGGGACUGAGACACGGCCCCGACUCCUACGGGAGGCAGCAGUGGGGAAUAUUGGGCAAUGGGGGAAACCCUGACCCAGCGACGCCGCGUGGGUGAUGAAGGCCUUCGGGUCGCAAAGCCCUGUCGGGAGGAAAGAACGAUCUUGUGGGGAAUAUCCAUGAGAUGUGACGGUACCUCCGAAGGAAGCACCGGCCAAUUCCGUGCCAGCAGCCGCGGUAAGACGGAAGGUGCAAGCGUUGCUCGGAAUCACUGGGCGUAAAGGGUGCGUAGGCGGCUUCUUAAGUCUGGUGUGAAAGCCCAGGGCUCAGCUCUGGAAGUGCACUAGAAACUGGGAAGCUUGAGUACCGGAUGGGAGAGUGGAAUUCCUGGUGUAGCGGUGAAAUGCGUAGAUAUCAGGAGGAAUACCGGUGGCGAAAGCGACUCUCUGGACGGUUACUGACGCUGAGGCACGAAAGCGUGGGGAGCAAACAGGAUUAGAUACCCUGGUAGUCCACGCCGUAAACGAUGGGCACUAGGUGUCGGGGGUAUCCACUCCCUCGGUGCCGCCGCUAACGCAUUAAGUGUCCCGCCUGGGAAGUACGGUCGCAAGAUUAAAACUCAAAUGAAUUGACGGGG